GAGAGCACGAGAGACCUCAAGACUGCAAAGUCGAGAGGACAAAGGCCUGCAGGAUUCCUGCUUUGAUCUCGGACUCCCUCUUAUGGGUCGGUCCCAUGGGAGAAUCUACGUUGUUUCAUCUUCUGAAGUAAUCUGUCCUUUUAAUGUCUCCGUUGCCCCCACUUUGGGAGAGAGAGAAUGUGUGUGAGUGAGAGAAUGAAAGAGAGAGAGAGAGAGAGAGAUAUCAUUAAGUCUGAGAGUGUGUGGGGGAGAGGGUGCAUGUCCGUUCCAAGUCUCUCAGGCAAAGCAAGGUAAGAGUCCGACAGUGUGGAGACUCUGUCCAAACUCAUCAAUAAAUGCUUGUGAAUUACAGCCCAGAUUAAUUAAAAUAUAGAGCCUCUUUAGCUUGAUUAGUCUAACAUUAGUCUUUCAUAAGGAUGUGCCUGCAGAGGCAUAAUGUUAUCUUAAUUUUGUUGUUACAUUGUUACAAACAUGAUUACUACAACCUCUUGAGAUGUGACUUUUGCUAAUAUUUCAUAACAGGGAUAGGGAAAUGCUAAUAGCUAUUGUAUUUUUUAUUUUAUUUUUUAUUUCAAUAAAUGUAUAAUUCUCUCUUCCCCCGAGUGGCCAGAGGUUCGAUCCCCCACCAUGGCAUCGUCUGAGCUUUCAUUCCUCCUCCAUCUGUUACUCUCUUGGUCUUCUACCUGUCUGAAUAAAGCUAAAAAUAAAUGCA